rnacentral:lncRNA from 1 species
AUGCCAAGUCCAAAGGAAUAACUGAGUAAAGAGGUCGCUCUCGCUGUUUCCAUAGCAAUCCAUUAUGACUGUGCUCUCGACGUAAGCGCUAUCCCUAAGAUGGAAAGGUGAGAGAAGAUGAUGAGGGGUUAACAGAUUUUCUACUUGGAUCAUUGCAUCUCUCAUUUAAAACCAGAUACUAGGCACUAUUCUAAUUCCAGAGACCCAGCAAUGGCCCGAAUGAAGAGAAGGUAGAGAGCUGAAAAAUAUCUUCAAAUUGGAAUUAACCUGGGUUCAUUCCAAAAGCACUGCUACACAGGAUAACAGAGCCAUGGACUCACACAACUGA